rnacentral:tRNA from 1 species
CAAAGCGUAGCUUAAACUAAAGCACCUGGCUUACACCUAGAAGAUUUCAACUUAAAUCGAACGCUUUGA